CUUGGAUAAUGUCAAAGUAUUCUCUGUUCAAUUUUGAAACAGUCAUUUCAGUGGUGUGAAGAUCUUUAGUAACUGCAGCAUCGAAGACUUUGCACAUUUUAUUUCAAAGCAGAAGUCCCAGUGUCUUCACAAUCAGCCUCGCUUAGAUCCUUUUUUCAAACAGCAAGCAGUAUGUGGUAAUGCAAAGCUGGAAGAAGGAGAGGAGUGUGACUGUGGGACCGAACAGGAUUGUGCCCUUAUUGGAGCAACAUGCUGCGAUACUGACACAUGUAGAUUUAAAGCUGGUUCAAACUGUGCUGAAGGACCAUGCUGCGAAAAUUGUCUAUUUAUGUCAAAAGAAAGAAUAUGUAGGCCUUCCUUUGAAGAAUGCGACCUCCCUGAAUAUUGCAAUGGAUCAUCUGCGUCAUGUCCAGAAGACCACUAUGUUCAGACUGGGCAUCCGUGUGGACUGAAUCAAUGGAUCUGUAUAGAUGGAGUUUGUAUGAGUGGGAAUAAACAAUGUGCGGACACAUUUGGCAAA
rnacentral:sRNA from 1 species